rnacentral:rRNA from 1 species
GACGAACGCUGGCGGCGUGCUUAACACAUGCAAGUCGAACGGAAAGGCCCCUUUGGGGGUACUCGAGUGGCGAACGGGUGAGUAACACGUGAGUAACCUGCCCUUGACUUCGGGAUAACUUCAGGAAACUGGGGCUAAUACCGGAUAGGAAUCCUUGCUGCAUGGUGGGGGUUGGAAAGCUUCGGCGGUUUUGGAUGGACUCGCGGCGUGUCAGCUUGUUGGUGGGGUAGUGGCUUACCAAGGCGUUGACGGGUAGCUGGCCUGAGAGGGCGACCGGCCACAUUGGAACUGAGAUACGGCCCAGACUCCGACGGGAGGCAGCAGUGGGGAAUAUUGCACAAAGGGCGGAAGCCUGAUGCAGCAACGCCGCGUGCGGGAUGACGGCCUUCGGGUUGUAAACCGCUUUCAGCAGGGGCGAAGCUUGUGGUGACGGUACCUGCAGAAGAAGCACCGGCUAACUACGUG